rnacentral:sRNA from 1 species
GCCAGGUGCAGUGGCAUAUACCUGUAAUCCCAGCAGCUUGGGAGGCUGAGGUAGGAGGAUCACGAGUUCAAAGACAGCCUCUGCCAAAGCAAGGAGCUAAACAACUCAGUGAGACCCUGUCUCUA